GGGGUUGUGGCUCAGUGGUAGAGCACUCGCCUAGCAUGCGUGGGGUCCUAUGUUCGAUCCUCAGCACCACA
rnacentral:tRNA from 1 species